rnacentral:lncRNA from 1 species
AUUAUUAUUAUUAUAAUAAUUAAGAUUUUGGUGGAUGGCAGAAUUGGUAGAUAACAAGACAAAAUACCUUGUAUUUAGUUAUUUAGUAUUUACUUCUGAGUUCAAAUCCUGCUUGGAUUAACAUUGCUUUGCAUUUAUCUGAUAUUGAGAAAUUAAGUACGGGGGUUUGCUCUAAUUCACUUCCUUGCUGCUAAAUUUGUGACCUUGUGACUGUUGUAGAAAUUAAGACACAUUAGCUAGAAAAUACUUGUUUCAAAUUUUGGCACAAGGCCAGGAUUUUCAGGAGAUAGAGGAAAGUGACCUCAGUACUCAAGUAGUAUUUAUUUUAUUGACCCUGAAAGUAUAAAAUGCAAAGUCAACCUCAGCAGAAUUUGAACUCAGAACGUAAAGAUGGAUGAAAUACUACUAAACACUUUGUCUGGUGUGCUAGUGAUUCUACCAGCUUGCCACCUUAAGCAUAGCUAGAAAUAUUAGCAAAUUAAGGCAGUGAGCUGUUGAGGAAACCAAUCUCAGAUGGAGAAAAAACAAAGUUGAAUUAAAAACAUAAAAGAAUUUAUACAAGACGUUUUGUGUGUCACUCACCAAUUCUAGUCAUCCAUCAGCCUGUGUUAGAAAGCGAUGUUAGAUUACAGUAAGUCAGAAGUGAUCUCAUGAUGAUUCUACUUCACAACUUUCAAUAACAGGUUGUGGUCAUAUAACUUAUCUUUGAACUGGAAAAAAAAUCAUGAAUGUCACACAAUCUCUCUCAGUUUCCAUUCUCUAACACCCUGAAACAAGUUGUGCUGUAUAAUGACUGUGUGUGAAACUUUCUGAUUUUAAAAUAUUUUUAGAAAAACAAAUGAGAGUGGAAAAGCUUUAUCUCUCUCCUUUCUCUCAAAGAAAGUUCUACGAUUAGUAGGUGAAUAGAGCCAAUUUAGCCUUUGUAAUGGUAUUUGGUGCCAGUACCAUAGAGUGGUUGUAAUUUCCUAGCAAGUGAGUGAUGCAAGUUCAGUCCCUAGUUGAACUAUAAUACUUUCAGUCACUAAUAAUACCAGCACCUGAUAGUAUUCAAAAGACAUGGAGAUGAACAGUGUACAGUACAUUGACUUAUCACUGAACAUACUACACAGAGAUGAAAUAUUCUGUAGUAAUCCAACAGCCUGUUAAGGGUUAUAAAGUGUUUUUUAAAAUGCGUUUUGCUUGAUGUAAUUCUGAUGCUGACUAAGGUAUAUGACCUAGACUAGAAGUCCAGGUAAACCACACUAGUAGUUCAUACCAAACUUUUUGAUGGUUCCAGAAUGGGUUUUGUCCUGCUGUUAUUGCACAAUGUAAUUAAAGGAAUUUAUGUUUGGUGAUCUAUAACAUUUUACUCCUAAAUUUUGUGAACACCUUUCCGAGAAAGGUUGUCAUUGAUCUAGACCAUUCUAGACUGUUCUACUAGUGUGUUUUUUGUAACAAUGAUUUCAGAUCUUGACAGUUGUCAUGGUAAUGGAAAAACAGUAGCAAUUUGUUGUUGAUAUUUUGUUAGUUUUUAUUUGUUAAUUUUUUAAAAAAUAAAAUGUUAUUUAUUUCUAUACAUCAAGGACCUUGAGACUAAUAAACAAAUUAUCAUUGUU